AUAGCUCAGCUGGAUAGAGCAACGGCCUUCUAAGCCGUCGGUCGGGGGUUCGAAUCCCUCU
rnacentral:tRNA from 1 species